UUUCCCUCUUUCUCUCUUUCCAUGGUACAUCCUUGUCCUAGGAGCUGAAGGCUCCAGUCCUCUUUACAGUCACUUCCAUUUCCACCAGUAUCAUCCCAGUCUUUAUCUCUGAUCUUCUUUAGCCAAACCAAGCUGACUUCCUCUUUUCUCCUUUACCCAUGCCCUUCCACCUGCUCCAAUCUCCUGCCCUAGCAGCCUUGUUUCAGGUCUUCAGUUAGCAGAUCAGUCACCACUUGCUCCGUAGAGAAUCUCUUCUUGAUAUUUUGUGUCUCCUUUCCUCUACCCUUUACUGAUCAAAAUAUGUACUGUCCUCUUAGUAUUUAAUUCAGCAGUGAGAGAAGGAAGGGGAGGCCACGUUAGGCACUCUGUGUUGGAGAGUGGUUGGUAGGAAUAGCCUCUGAAUAUUAUGUACGAUCACUUAAAAAAAGCAGAGCCCUUUGAAGAGGUGAUAAUAAUGAAGACAGAUGACCGAAGUAGACCAUGUCAGCACCCUUCGUAUCAAAGCUGUCAGAGUAACUAUAAGCAAAUAAGACAUUUCCUCAGUAAACUGAGGCAGAUUCUUAAGGUUCGAGUGCUGCUGAACUUUUUUGGUAUUGUUCCUGAGACCUUCAGUAUUAAGCUUAACCUGAAUACCAGAGGAAUGCAUCUACUCAUCAUGACUGUAUAAAACCUUGUCUGCAAGAGAAGUUUUUCAAUUUUAUGCAAAUAGAAAUACCAGUACCCUCUUAUUUAUUUAUGACUAAAAUCCUAGAGUCACAUCAUAACUCUUUGCAGUGAAAUUGGUAUCGUCACUAGUGACACAAGCAGUAGUCCUCUAGGAAUUAAUGAACAGAGCGGCCUUGUGUCAUGAAUAUGCUAAGUAGUUCUUGAGUGACUCCACCUAAGUAUGAUGGAAUUUAGUUAUUGAAUCACUGUAAGAACUAAAUAAAUGACAAUGUGUUGAAUGUCAGGAUCCAGCUCUCAAAAGCAUGUUUUCUCUUGGGAAAACAGUAGAGCAGUUAAACAAAGGAGUACAGAAAAGAAGAAAGAGCGCAGACACGUUUUCACCUGCACAUCUCAUUUAAAGCUUUAAUAUGCUUUAAUUAAGCAGGAGAUCUAAAAUCAAUAUAGCAAGGUAGUAUAUAAAAAGGUGUUGUUUACACAGCUCACAAGUAGUGAGGAAAAUACUUAGCCUGCUCUCUUAAAGAAGUGAAGGCUCGUGAAAUCAUGCUGUUCAUACAUUUGUAUGUGUCCCACUCCCCCAGUCCCCCAGACUAACAUCUGACCAGUCUCAACCGUGUGCCACAAGUAAGGAUCUCACAGAUGCUAAGGUUCUAGAGACUGUGUAGAGUAGCUGACAUGGUGGGUGUAUUCUGGGAGCUGUUUUCUCAGUUGCAGCAGAACUAGCCAUAAAAUCACAGCACAACACUGAACCUGCUGUUAAAACCGCACCAGCUCUACUUGGCCCAACCUCUGCCUCCUCCUCUUCCUCCUUAGCUGCCUACUCCAGCUGUCUGAGGCUCUUACACAGGAAGCUUCCCUGCUCUUGUUGUAAUGCGUUUGUGUAUACGCUCUUAGGCAUGUUGACCCCACCGAGGGAAAGGCUUUGUAUGGUUUUCUCUCUUAUUGGACACCAGAAAAUCCAUAUAAAUACUCUGACCAAAGGAAACCUGAUUCAGAGUGUGUGCUUUCUAUGAUGUUAAAUCAGUAAGUCUUAAGACACAAUUCCAAAGGAAAUCAAAUAUCUUUAGAUUGAUAUUCACUGAACUGUGUUUUAAUUAAUCUAACUCACAACUUUUGUUUCCAGCAGGACAAUUAGUAUGUACUAGAAUGAUAGCUUGGGUAUCUUUCUCCUGGGAGAUGAUCAGCUUCAUUAUUUAAAUAAUCAGAUGAAAUCUGGGAUAAGCAAAUCUUAAUUUUGUAGUGAAUUAGAAUACCAUGCCCAGUUUUAUGUACCACAGUAAGAAAGAAGUGAAUCAGCUGGAGACAGUCCAGAGGACAGUGACAAGAAAGAUCAGUAGUGUAGAAAUUAUCACCUAAAAGAAAAAGAAAUGAAUGAAUCAUGCUAGUUGAGUUUGACACAGAGAAGAGAGAGCGAAGACGUUAUAACACAAGAGGUUCCUACAAGGAGGAAGAGAACAAUCUAUUUCUCUUGCCUGUGUUUGAUAGAACAAGAAGUAAUAGGCUUAAAUUACAGCCAGAAAGAUUUAUUUUAGAAAUUUCAGAAAACUUUAAUGGCGAGGAUGGGGAAUAGAUUGCUUGGCCAGCUUUUGGAGUUUCUGUCUCCAUUGGAGAUCUGUAAGAUCGGAGUUCUUGAAUAACUGCUUCCUGCAGGAAAAAGGAUGGAUUAGGUGUCUUGCAAGAUUCUUCCUAGCCCUACUGUAUAUCCUAGUAGUAAAACUGUAGUUUAAAAGAUAGGCUUUCUGUAUUCUUCUUAUGCUCUCAUCGUCUUCAAGCACUGAUAAAAUCCUUCUGUGGAAAAGAGAGUAAACAAUGCUAUUAGUUCUGUGAUCUUGUAAUGAAAAAUGGAAAUAUGUCUUGGAAUAAAGUACUUUUUGAUAUACCUUCAUUUAGAUAAUUGUACAGAAGCACUUGGAAAGUUGGCUGUAAUAGAGGAAAAACAUAUAAUGUGAUAAAAUUCAUUUGUUUAAAAUUACUUUUUCAGCACCUGUUACUGUUGUACUGAAUGAUAUCUCUAUAGAUCACUCAUGUGGGAACUUCAGAAAUCAAUUGAAUAAAAUUGCCCUAAUUGUAUUCAGAAUACUAAAUAUAGUUUUAGAUUUUAUAUUAUCAUUUCUUCUGUUUCAAAUGUUUCACUUAACUGGAAGUAUUAGAAGUAGCACUUUAGUUCUCAAAAUUUGUAUGUGCCAUGUGAAAUCCAUUAAAAAAAAUGAGAGGGAGAAAAUCUAGGCAUUUCAGAGAUAUUCCUAUUACAGCCUUUGCGUCUGAAUCAUCCAGAAUCAAAUGGUUGGGCUGCAGAGGAUGGCUCCAGACGUGUAAAAAACUGUUCUCCAACAGAUACUCCUGACGCAGAGCUUUGAAUCCAUUUGUUUAGUUCUGCAACCCUAAUUUUUUGCAGCUUGCGUUAGAAUUCGAAUGCAGUCUGUUUACAUUUCUGUAAUAUGACUGGGGCACAGCACUUCUACUGCAGGAUAUCACAGAAUUUUGACUCAAUUGUUCUUAGUACGAAGAUUGCUCCAAAAGUAAUGCCUUGUAUUUAUUUCCACGGAAACCACAGUGGAUACGAAGAGCACGAUAGCACUGUUUGAUAGAGCAAAUUGUCAUCUACGAAACGCUCCUUUUCAAUACGGUCACCGCUAUGCAUUUUCACUGGCAGCUUACAAGAGCCUGCAUGCUAUGCUUGUCAAAAUCUGCGCUGCUGGAGGUGACCCGCUGUUUCUGAGCUGCUAUGAUGAUGUCAUUGCUAGGAUAAUAUUACACAUGCACUCCAUCUUCCAUUGGCCUGGACAGAUAGAAGUCAGAAGGCACCAAAUCUGGGCUAUACAGUGGGCGUGCUACAACAGUCCAGACAAGAUUGGCAGUAUACAUGACAGUCUUCAGACUGAGCAGAUUCACGUGAAUUUUUGCAAUCAGGAGAAAAAAAAAGCAUUCAAGAAAAGGGCUUUAUGGUAAGAGCAUUUACCACCAAAGUAAUGUGUGUUUCUCUGGAAUUUAGUGCUGAUAGCAUAGCCGAGCAGGUAAUCAAAACUUCUAAAAAGUGGAGUACGCACCUUGACAUCAGCAUAAAACGCAUUCCUAAGUAAUAAAGAUUUUCAGAUGACUGUUCCUUUGGCUGUUGAAACAGAGGCAGCUGGACUUCAGAAAGGCGGCCUGAUGUUUGUUUUCUGGUACACUGCUCCUUCAUCCUGCUGGGACAUACCAUAUCUAUCGCUUGUGGAAAAGAACGCCCUGCCCACAACGCACUGCUAGUGCCAGGGCAGGGGAGGAAAGCCCCGUGACACCUGAUGGAGCUACUGCCAAGCCCUGGGAAGGGCAAGACCCAGGACCUGGGAUGUUGGGAUUAAGGCUGGGUGCCAUCACCCUGAGCCCGGGCUGUGCGGUGCCAGAGUGGCUGUGCUGGCAGAGCCUCCUAGCAGAGCUGCAGCGCUGGCUGCAGGAGGACAGCUGUAAAUCUCAGAGGAAGUUGCACCAUCUCUCCUCGUGACAGAAGCUUGGCAGAAGUGCCUCACCCACCCUGCUCGUGGAGGCAGAGCCGGCAGAGCCAUUGUGUCAGCACAGCGUGUGCAGGGGGGGCUGCGACUUCCCUGCCCUGCACACAGGCCUGGCACGGUGCAGGCAUUUGGGAAGAACCCAGCAGAGCGUGCAUGGGCUGAGGGCCGUCCCCAGAUUCUCCUAGAUUACCGAAUAGCAGCAUGGAGCUGUGUUUUGAAAGCACUGCUUCGGUAUAUGUUGGGACAUACUACGUGGUAUCUUGGUCUGUCUGCACAUGGUGCGUAUUUGCACGAACCUUAACGAGACUGACAAAAGUAAGAGGCAAGUUUAAAGAAAAUUGCACUAAAUGACUUAAUUCUCCAUAGUUGAAGGCUUUAAAUUUUAAUCAAGUCUUGAGUCUGAGACUAAUAACUUAGAGUGAAGGUUUAAAGUGACUAAAAUUUAAAACUAAACAUGUAUAUCUAAUGUGCAUUGGCACCCAUGUGUUUGCAUAGCAGCAGUUCCCAAAAGUAUGCACACUGAAACGACAGAUUUCAAAGGCCAGCACAGGCCUUGCCCAAAGCUCUGGGUUGGGGUUCGCUGUGUUUUGGCCCAGCUGUGCCUCAGCCAUUGCCCUGUGCUCAUGUAAAUCCCAAGGCCCGUGUGCUGUGCAACGCCUUAAUGAAACACUUUGGUCAUUAUGUUCACAAAGAUGGGGCACUGCAGUGCCACCUCCAGCCAUGCUUAAUGUGCAGGACAGACAAAAGGCUGUUAAAUUCUCUGCUGUCCACCUGAAAUACAAUCUUUACAGGAAAAAAAAUAAAACAACCAACAUGGGACAGGUGGUUUGGAUUCCAGUCUGUUAGGCCUCUUGCCACAACGCCUUCUGACCUGUUGAGUACUUGAUAAAUAAUGUAAAGUCUCUGGAUUUCAAAGCUUCUUUCAUUUGGGGUUUCUUUUCCACGUGGCUCCUAUAUGUCAGAGGGACUUUGCAUUAGUCCAAAAUAGAUUGCUGACAGACAGUAGAACUUGUGGAACCCUGGGUCCCUGCAGCUAGCUCGUGCCAUACUUAAGAUCCUUCUCAGACAGGGUUCUUCUCACAGGUAUUCCACAUGAAAUAUCUUCUCAUACAUCAGGUUAUCUGCAUGCCUGGGAAAGAAUUCGGCUGUGAGGGCAGGUGUCAGGCGCUGGCAGUCCAGCUGCCUCCAGAAUGAGUGAAAAGCUGAAUCACAGAUAAUUCCCCACAUGUGCAGCGGUGUGUGCCUGGGGUUAAUUCAUUCUCCUGGUCGCUAUUCAUACCUGUUAACCACACAGCAGGUGCUGGCACCAGCAGCAUGUACAUGAAAGUGAGCAGGGCUGUUGGGAACUGCCUGUGCUGGACAUUUUGUUCAUUGUCAUGAGAUAAUGAGGGAUUGCCUUGGCCCAGUGAAAGGUAUUUGCAUUUGUUAAUUGGAGAAAUGGCAAUAAAACCCUGUAAGCAUUAUUUUCUUGGAUUUGCAUAUCUGAAAAGGAUCGGGAGAAUGCUUUCGUGAUAAACAAUAAGAAACUUCUAAUUGCUCAGUUUUGAAUGUAUGCAGUGUUGACUGCAACUUUAAUAAUCUUAGUGAAGUCAUCAUCAUUUUAUAAGGAUGUUGUAGCGCAUUUGCAAGUGUGUUGUGACCUUUAGAUAUGACUAAUGUAGAACUAUGUAAAUAUAAACUAAUUGAUGUUUGCCUAAUAGAGUAAAAUAUUCUAGAAGAGCUGUGAAGUACACAUAUAUAAAAUAUAAAUAUAAAAUAAAAUAUAUAAAAUAUAAAAGCUAAACAGUUUGAGUUUUGGUGUGCUUAAGCAAUCAUUUGUUAUGCUAAAAGAAAUAAUCACCUUCCCCAAGAUGACGCCUUCACUUUGUGUGGGAUGGCUCGUCCUGUCGGGGCAAAGAUGCUGUGUCCUUAACAGGGAUGAUGACCUCUAGCAAUGCCUUGCUUUCAGUCUACUUUUGGAGUUAUGUGGGAAAUGAUCAGUCCCACGUGAGGCUAGCAAAGGUAGCAAACGUCCAUUAAAUUUCAUCCACUCUCAUCUGAAUCUGAUGGUCAGAAGUCUUCACUAACUCCAUGUUAUCCCUGGACUAUCAUCUCCACUGCUCUAAAUUUGGUGGAAAUUGUCCAACAGGUUGAAAAAUCACCAGGGAAAGAGGGGUAACAGUUAAGUGAGUUGGUGUGUUUGCAUAAGCCUCAUUUCUUUAGGGCAUCAUACAACAAAGUUAAGAGCCUGCUGGAUGUUGGCGUCUGCAAUAUUCAACAGUACAGAUAUUCUGUUUCACUGCUAAUGUUACUGCCUGUUUGUGGGGGGGGGGAAGCAGUUUGCUUAACAACACAGUUCUAAUUAGUCUUCAUCACGUGUGGCAUUUUGUUUAGAAAACAUGUAAAAGUUAAAGCAAAUAUAGUCUACCUCAUGUUGUCUGUGGUUAGCAUUUCUGAUCAGAACAUCCAGUUCUUUCUUCUCUCUUUCCUUUUAGAAUUAUGUUUUUAUUUCAACAGUGCUUUCUACCAGCAGGCAAAGCUGCUGUUACACUCUACCCAGCUGUGAAAUCAAUAUGAUUUUCAUUACAAAGAUAACAGAAACUCUCUUAGAAAGACUGUGAAUUGCCAAAGGUCAAAUAACAGUCAGUGGCAGAGCUUAGAAUUUAGAUGUCCUAAUUAAAAAAUCUUGUGGUAUAAAUAUAUUAAUGAAAUGCACCCUGAGAAAUGUUUGCGUUUAAGAUGGCAACGCUUUUACGCCAUUGCGUUGUUCCUUUAAUUACUGUGUGCAUGUGAGUCCUAUGAAAACGUUAUAACUCUUCCUCCACAACAUGACCAGCUCUCAUAAAAUAGGUGCUCAGUUCCAGUUUCCUCCUUUAAUUCAC
rnacentral:lncRNA from 1 species